UGAGGAAUAUUGGGCAAUACCCGCAAGGGUGACCCAGCAACGCCGCGUGGAGGAUGAAUGUCGUAAGAUUGUAAACUCCUGUUAGAGGGGAAGAAUAGUACCGGUUGGACCGGUAUAUGACUGUACCCUCAGAGAAAGCCCCGGCUAACUACGUGCCAGCAGCCGCGGUAAUACGUAGGGGGCAAGCGUUGUCCGGAUUUACUGGGUGUAAAGGGCGCGCAGGCGGGAUAAAAAGUCAGUGGUGAAAUCCUACAGCUUAACUGUAGAACUGCCUUUGAUACUUUUAUGCUUGAGUUCGGGAGAGAGAGACGGAAUUCCAGGUGUAGUGGUGAAAUACGUAGAUAUCUGGAAGAAAACCAGUUGCGAAGGCGGUCUCUUGGUCCGACACUGACGCUGCGGCGCGAAAGCGUGGGGAGCAAACA
rnacentral:rRNA from 1 species